rnacentral:rRNA from 1 species
UACGUAGGGUCCAAGCGUUAUCCGGAAUCACUGGGCGUAAAGCGUUUGUAGGCGGAAAUCUAAGUGGGAUGCGAAAUCUGGUGGCUCAACCACCUAGACGGUAUCUCAUACUGGGUUUCUAGAAUAUAGCAGAGGCAAGUGGAAUUAGUAGUGUAGCGGUAAAAUGCGUAGAUAUUACUAGGAACACCAAUGGCGAAGGCAGCUUGCUGGGCUAUUAUUGACGCUGAGAAACGAAAGCGUGGGGAGCGAACAGG